CGGACGGGUGAGUAAUGUCUGGGAAACUGCCCGAUGGAGGGGGAUAACUACUGGAAACGGUAGCUAAUACCGCAUAACGUCGCAAGACCAAAGAGGGGGACCUUGGGGCCUCUUGCCAUCGGAUGUGCCCAGAUGGGAUUAGCUAGUAGGUGGGGUAACGGCUCACCUAGGCGACGAUCCCUAGCUGGUCUGAGAGGAUGACCAGCCACACUGGAACUGAGACACGGUCCAG
rnacentral:rRNA from 1 species